GAUGAACGCUGGCGGCGUGCCUAAUACAUGCAAGUCGAGCGAACGGACGAGAAGCUUGCUUCUCUGAUGUUAGCGGCGGACGGGUGAGUAACACGUUGAUAACCUACCUAUAAGACUGGGAUAACUUCGGGAAACCGGAGCUAAUACCGGAUAAUAUUUUGAACCGCAUGGUUCAAAAGUGAAAGACGUUCUUGCUGUCACUUAUAGAUGGAUCCGCGCUGCAUUAGCUAGUUGGUAAGGUAACGGCUUACCAAGGCAACGAUGCAUAGCCGACCUGAGAGGGUGGUCGGCCACAAUGGAACUGAGACACGGUCCAGACUCCUACGGGAGGCAGCAGUAGGGAAUCUUCCGCAAUGGGCGAAAGCCUGACGGAGCAACGCCGCGUGAGUGAUGAAGGUCUUCGGAUCGUAAAACUCUGUUAUUAGGGAAGAACAUAUGUGUAAGUAAAUGUGCACAUCUUGACGGUACCUAAGCAGAAAGCCACGGCUAACUACGU
rnacentral:rRNA from 1 species